rnacentral:lncRNA from 1 species
CCACCAGCCAGCCUUUUCCUCUUGCAAGUUCCCUCUCUCUCACUAGAGAGAGAGAGCUGUUUUUCUUUCUCUUUCUUUUGUCUAUUAAACCCCUGCUCCUAAACUCGUGUGUGUCCGUGUCCUAAACUCUCCUGGCACCAGAAGAACCCUGAUUAUUUACCCAGACAACUGUAGCUGCUUCAAAGAACUACCUACAGAAUCAACUGGGAACAGAGCCACACCCUUUUUUCCCCCAAACACAAAACCUUUGAUUCUUUUCAGAAUAAAAUUUGGCAAAGCAAAGAGUGAAAAAGCUUGAGAAAAGCACAGCCAAUCUAGUUUAAGUGCAAAUAGAAUCAAAAGUUCCUGAUAUAGAAUAAGCAAAUGAUGGAAGAAGCCAAGUUUCCUGAGUGGCCACUAGGAAAACUCUGUCUUCUUUAUCAAAACUAUGAGGUAUGUGUCCUCCAAAUUCUUAUGUUGGAACUUCAGCCCCAAAGUGAUUGUAUUAGAAGGUGAAACAUUUAAGAGAUGAUUAAGUCAUAAGGGCUCUGACCUUCUGAGUGGGAUUAAUGUUCUUAUAAAAGGGCUGGCGAGAACUAGCUAUGCCUUUUUGCCCUUCUGCCAUGUGAGGACACAGCAACAAGGAGCUGUCUAAAAAGCUGAGACGGAGCCUUCACCAGACACUGAAUCUGCCGGCGACUUGAUCUUGGAUUUCCCAGCCUCAAGAACUGUGAAAAUAAACUUCUGUUGCUUAUAAAUUACUCCGUCUGUGGUAUGUUGUUAUAGCAGCAGGGAUGGACUAAGAAACUCUCUCUUUAUAUAAACAAUUACUUGUGGAGAAGUCUGUAUAAUUACAGAGUAAAAUCUUUAAAAUCUCAUGGGUUUAUAAGUAGCCUUACCUGCUGUCUUAAAUUCAAGAUUCCCACAUUUGCACCUCUUUAGUAUAUAGAAUAUAGACUAUAAAAAUAGUCUUGGCUAUCUAAGGCUAGUGGCCAACUGUCUAUUGCAGAGAAAGAGUGAGAAAUUUAAUAUAAAUAUUCAUUCUUACAUAUCCACUUCCUAGGCUAAUUAUCUAUUUAAGAAACUUUGCCUUAUUGCUACACACAUACAUUUAUAAAUAAAAGUACUUCUGCAUUUUUCAAAUAUAAAUUAGUUUUUUAAGACUUGCGUGCAUACCUAAAAGCAUAUGCACCAGAUAUGUCCAUAUAAGCACAAUUCCAAUCAAAGAAAAAGACUGUACUUAAACCAACAGUAAGGCCUUAAAUCAACUAGGAAAUCCAAUUCAAUCAUAUUUCAGGGUUUAUCAUUUCAGUCAUACAAACUUUAUCCUGGACAAAAACUGAUGUGGGAUGUGUGUGUGUGUAGUUCUAAAUAUUGUAAGCAAAUUUAUUUAAAUGAGCUCAUCUGGAAAUACUGAGUUCUAUGUAAUACAUUUCUUUGUAUUGAACACAAUUGAUUUCUGUGUGUCAAAACAAUGAAAGUGGGUCAUUAAAGCAAUUAUUGUUACUGUGUAAUUUUACUACAUAAAUUACCAAAUAAAUAAUAUUAUUGCAGAAAAACACAAGCUUACUAUCUUUUUACUUAUUUUCAAGUGAAAAGAUGGAAGAGCUAUUCCUAUGUCCUGAAAAGUCCAUAUAUUAGUUGAACAUGCUGAUAUCUGAUUCAUGAAAUCUCCAUUGCUUCAGUACCAUAGAUGUGAAAUGAUUUUAAAGCAUAUUCACAUUUGUCAUCCUAUGUUUUUAUAUUUAAUAAUUUUACUCUAAUUUUACAGUUACUGAAACUGUUACAUAGCUGUGCUGUUCUAUAUCUGGACAUGCUGUGUAUAACAGUAUGUUAUUUUUACAGGUACCGGACUUUAUUCUCUAGAUCUUUUCAGGGGCAUGCAUAGCUCUUAAAGCACCCAUGCUCAUAUUCAAAUCUUCUAAUCUUUU